rnacentral:pre_miRNA from 1 species
AGUGGAAUUGCUGAGUCAUAUGGUAAGUGUAUGUUAAACUUUUUAAGAAACUGCCAAAUUGUUUUCCAAAGUAGCUACACCAUUUAUGUUCUCACCAACAAU